AGUUAUGUUGCCACCCCACCAGAGGAACAUGAGAUAAGCCCAACUCUUGAUCUGUUCAUGCCUUUGGCCACAGAAAUUACGCAGACGGCCAAAGCUCCAGUCUCAACCUGCAGCAGCUGGUCAUAGCAACAUGAGGAAAACUAUUUUGCAGCACAUUGCCAAACAUUUCCCAAGGACUGCAGCUGAGAAGCAGUGCAACCCUGAAACAACACAGACUGUACUUUCCCCAGGGAAUGUGGA